rnacentral:tRNA from 1 species
ACUAUUUUGGCAGAUAAGUGCAAUAAAUUUAGAAUUUAUUAAUGUAGGUUUUGCCUAUAGGUAGUA